UUGACCUCAAAUCAGGUAGGACUACCCGCUGAACUUAAGCAUAUCAAUAAGCGGAGGAAAAGAAACUAACAAGGAUUCCCCUAGUAACUGCGAGUGAAGCGGGAAAAGCUCAAAUUUGAAAUCUGGCAGUUCUUGAACUGUCCGAAUUGUAAUCUAGAGAAGUGUUACCUGUGCUGGACCGUGUACAAGUCUUCUGGAAUGGAGCAUCACAGAGGGUGAGAAUCCCGUCUUUGACACGGACUGCCUGCACGUUGUGGUGUGCUCUCGAAGAGUCGAGUUGUUUGGGAAUGCAGCUCAAAAUGGGUGGUAAAUGCCAUCUAAAGCUAAAUAUUGGCGAGAGACCGAUAGCGAACAAGUACCGUGAGGGAAAGAUGAAAAGAACUUUGGAAAGAGAGUUAAACAGUACGUGAAAUUGCUGAAAGGGAAACGCUUGAAGUCAGUCAUGUCGGCUAGAAAUCAGCCUUGCUUUUGCUUGGUGUAUUUUCUGGUUGAUGGGUCAGCAUCAAUUUUGACCAUUGGAUAAAGUCAUUGGGAAUGUGGCAUCUUAGGAUGUGUUAUAGCCCAUUGUCGCAUACGGUGGUUGGGAUUGAGGAACUCAGCAUGCCACAAUGGCCGGGUUUUUUU
rnacentral:rRNA from 1 species